GACGAACGCUGGCGGCGUGCCUAAUACAUGCAAGUCGAGCGAAGUUUUUCUGGUGCUUGCACCGGAAAAACUUAGCGGCGAACGGGUGAGUAACACGUAAAGAACCUGCCUCAUAGACUGGGACAACUAUUGGAAACGAUAGCUAAUACCGGAUAACAGCAUUAACUGCAUGGUUGAUGUUUAAAAGUUGGUUAUGCUAACACUAUGAGAUGGCUUUGCGGUGCAUAGCUAGUUGGUGGGGUAAAGGCCUACCAAGGCGACGAUGCAUAGCCGACCUGAGAGGGUGAUCGGCCACACUGGGACUGAGACACGGCCCAGACUCCUACGGGAGGCAGCAGUAGGGAAUCUUCCGCAAUGGGCGAAAGCCUGACGGAGCAACGCCGCGUGAGUG
rnacentral:rRNA from 1 species